UCCAGGCAAAUCCGGAUAAUCAAGGCUGAGGUGUGAUGACGAGGCACUACGGUGCUGAAGUAACAAAUGCCCUGCUUCCAGGAAAAGCCUCUAAGCAUCAGGUAACAUCAAAUCGUACCCCAAACCGACACAGGUGGUCAGGUAGAGAAUACCAAGGCGCUUGAGAGAACUCGGGUGAAGGAACUAGGCAAAAUGGUGCCGUAACUUCGGGAGAAGGCACGCUGGUGUGUAGGUGAAGUCCCUGCGGAUGGAGCUGAGACCAGUCGAAGAUACCAGCUGGCUGCAACUGUUUAUUAAAAACACAGCACUGUGCAAACACGAAAGUGGACGUAUACGGUGUGACGCCUGCCCGGUGCCGGAAGGUUAAUUGAUGGGGUUAUCCGUAAGGAGAAGCUCUUGAUCGAAGCCCCGGUAAACGGCGGCCGUAACUAUAACGGUCCUAAGGUAGCGAAAUUCCUUGUCGGGUAAGUUCCGACCUGCACGAAUGGCGUAAUGAUGGCCAGGCUGUCUCCACCCGAGACUCAGUGAAAUUGAACUCGCUGUGAAGAUGCAGUGUACCCGCGGCAAGACGGAAAGACCCCGUGAACCUUUACUAUAGCUUGACACUGAACAUUGAGCCUUGAUGUGUAGGAUAGGUGGGAGGCUUUGAAGCGUGGACGCCAGUCUGCGUGGAGCCAACCUUGAAAUACCACCCUUUAAUGUUUGAUGUUCUAACGUUGGCCCCUGACCGGGGUUGCGGACAGUGUCUGGUGGGUAGUUUGACUGGGGCGGUCUCCUCCCAAAGCGUAACGGAGGAGCACGAAGGUUAGCUAAUCCUGGUCGGACAUCAGGAGGUUAGUGCAAUGGCAUAAGCUAGCUUGACUGCGAGCGUGACGGCGCGAGCAGGUGCGAAAGCAGGUCAUAGUGAUCCGGUGGUUCUGAAUGGAAGGGCCAUCGCUCAACGGAUAAAAGGUACUCCGGGGAUAACAGGCUGAUACCGCCCAAGAGUUCAUAUCGACGGCGGUGUUUGGCACCUCGAUGUCGGCUCAUCACAUCCUGGGGCUGAAGUAGGUCCCAAGGGUAUGGCUGUUCGCCAUUUAAAGUGGUACGCGAGCUGGGUUUAGAACGUCGUGAGACAGUUCGGUCCCUAUCUGCCGUGGGCGCUGGAGAAUUGAGGGGGGCUGCUCCUAGUACGAGAGGACCGGAGUGGACGCAUCACUGGUGUUCGGGUUGUCAUGCCAAUGGCACUGCCCGGUAGCUAAAUGCGGAAGAGAUAAGUGCUGAAAGCAUCUAAGCACGAAACUUGCCCCGAGAUGAGUUCUCCCUGAGACUUUAAGUCUCCUGAAGGAACGUUAAAGACGAUGACGUUGAUAGGCCGGGUGUGUAAGCGCAGCGAUGCGUUGAGCUAACCGGUACUAAUGAACCGUGAGGCUUAACCUU
rnacentral:rRNA from 5 species